rfam:Halobacillus karajensis, HD-03, WGS project CCDI01000000 data, contig: 000001
AUUUGAAUUAAGCAAAUAUCAUGGUCGGAAACAUAAAUGACAGGUAGUUCCUCAUAGAAGUGCUUCGGAAUUUAUUGUUCCGAUUCUUCUAUGAGUUUUUUUUCGAUCUGCUAUUUGUAAUUUCCACGUUUUACGUGCAAGAUUUAGGAGGAAACAGAACAUGCAAAAUGGUACAGUGAAAUGGUUCAAUGCAGAAAAAGGUUACGGUUUCAUUCAAGUCGAGGGUGGAAACGAUGUGUUCGUACACUUCUCUGCUAUCCAGGAAGAAGGUUUUAAGUCUCUUGAAGAAGGUCAAGCCGUUACUUUUGAAAUCGUAGAAGGCGACCGCGGCCCACAAGCUGCGAACGUUGUGAAAGAAUAAAAUGCAUGCUCAAAAGCAACCUCCUCGGAGGUUGCUUUUUCU